UACGUGGGUGGCAAGCGUUGUCCGGAAUUACUGGGCGUAAAGGGAGCGUAGGCGGACAGUUUAGUCAGAGGUGAAAGCCCAGGGCUCAACCCUGGAAUUGCCUUUGAUACUGAUUGUCUUGAGUAUGGGAGAGGUGUGUGGAACUCCGAGUGUAGAGGUGAAAUUCGUAGAUAUUCGGAAGAACACCAGUGGCGAAGGCGACACACUGGCCCAUUACUGACGCUGAGGCUCGAAAGCGUGGGGAGCAAACAGG
rnacentral:rRNA from 1 species